rnacentral:rRNA from 1 species
AUUGAACGCUGGCGGCAGGCUUAACACAUGCAAGUCGAGCGGGGUGAUGGUGCUUGGACUAUCACUUAGCGGCGGACGGGUGAGUAAUGCUUAGGAAUCUGCCUAUUAGUGGGGGACAACAUCUCGAAAGGGAUGCUAAUACCGCAUACGUCCUACGGGAGAAAGCAAGGGAUCACUUGUGACCUUGCGCUAAUAGAUGAGCCUAAGUCGGAUUAGCUAGUUGGUGGGGUAAAGGCCUACCAAGGCGACGAUCUGUAGCGGGUCUGAGAGGAUGAUCCGCCACACUGGGACUGAGACACGGCCCAGACUCCUACGGGAGGCAGCAGUGGGGAAUAUUGGACAAUGGGGGGAACCCUGAUCCAGCCAUGCCGCGUGUGUGAAGAAGGCCUUAUGGUUGUAAAGCACUUUAAGCGAGGAGGAGGCUCUUUUGGUUAAUACCCAAGAUGAGUGGACGUUACUCGCAGAAUAAGCACCGGCUAACUCUGUGCCAGCAGCCGCCGUAA